CACUUGGUAGAAAACAUGAUAGCCCUCUAGGACCAAGCAUCUGCCUGAUCAAAGCCAUGAGACAAAUGGCUCCGAAUUGGCAACUUACAAACCAAUCAUGUGUUACUCUUAAGAAACAAACCAUACAAGGACCUCCUUCCACGACCACAAGUCCAUCCUGAGAACUGCCAUGGUAUGUAUUUACCGAAAUGUGAGAACCUACUCUGAGCUUUGCGCCAAUCGACAAAGAUAAAAUAAAAUCAUAACCAUCAGAGGCUCAGAUAUAGCACGAGGUUCGUGGACAGGAGAUGGAAGCAUGCGGUCAGGCACAGGCAGGGGACACCAUGGAAGCAUGCAGGCAGGCAGGGGACACCAGUUGCGAACUGGUCAGCAGCGGUGAUUUUGCUCCAUGAAGGUCAAUAUCUUAGUCUCGAUCAUGCGUCACCAGAAUACCCAUACCUGUGCCUUCAUCGCAUUGGGUGCCUGUCCAUCUCCGAUUGCCCCUUCUGCCCUGGCGUGUACCCAAAAAUAUGUCAUGUCACUGGUUUGGGAGGCCUUCUCGUUUGAUCGUCUCACUGGUACAGUGGUACUCAUAUCUUGAUAGUAGAGCUGCCGGAAGCUGUUCAUACUGAUACCAAGAGGAGGUGUUUAUCCAGAGACUGAAGUUCCAACGAUUUGCCAUUGUUCCUGUGAAAUAGAAGAGCACCGGUUAAGACUCCAAAAGAAGCAUUCCGAGAUAGCAAGUCUUUUGCGGGUACAAAUUGGAUGACAGACAGCAACGAAAUGUGUGUGGUAGCACUGUUAUGGUGCUUAGGAAACAGAAGGCUGCCCAAACUAGUUCUAUCCAACAAAAGAAUUGCAAUAUUCAACUGUUUAGUACCGAUAAGUUCAUUCUGGAAGGCCUCUUGCAAAAAACAACGUAUCAUAUUCAUUAACAAAGGGGAAAUCAAUACAUCUAUUUGCAUGCAGUGUAUUUUGCCACCACAAACCUGUCAGUUAUUGAUAAUGGAUCUGGACUGGACGUCACACUGACACAUGGGUUUGUAGCAACACAUGGUUUGGGAAAUAAGAACAGAAUUUGGACCGGGGAUGUAAGGUCAGGUCACAGGUUUCUUUCAUCACCAUCAAAGUGAACUACCAAAAAAGUCUUCACACAAGAAAUCAUCAAGGUUAAAAAUGUGCUAUUCAGUGCUCUGUGAUGGCGUGCUGCGGCACUUCACCCUAGGUGUCUAGCGAAGUACUCGAGUGAGUUAUUGACUUCUCUAGCGGUGGCGUGAGGAGACAACCUGAGGAGCGGCGAUGGUGAGAAGAGGGGGACCGGCAGCAGCAGCGGCAUGAGAAGAUUUGUGAAGUGGAGGCGCCCUCGUAAAGCAGAUCAUAUGUGGAGGGUAUGGAUAUAUGGAUGGUUUAGAUGGCCAGCUAGAAGGGUUGAUAAAGCUAGGGUUCCACAUGGGCUAGAUAUGCCCCUAUUCAAAACAUGGCAACAUGGGACAUCAUCUUCCCAGACACCACGAGAGACACUUUCCUAUCGGCACGGCCACAGAACAUCUCCUCCAGAUGACUGGACACCCUCAACAUCCACCCCACAUCGUUCUCCCUUACCCGCACUCUCUAAUUUUUGCUCUUGGAUGCAUUGCCUUGGCCCAAGGUUCUCAGUCGGCUGCUUGUCACCAUGUUCCAGGUGACGUCCAGGCACUAGACAUUCAUACAGUGCCCGCCUAGCACCUAGCACUUUCGCGAACCAUGACGUCUCUGAAUACUUUCCUGUUUCCUAGGCAAACAAGACAAACUACCUACACUAACCUCAGCAUAUUAUAUCCGAAGUUGAGCUGCUAUCACUUAAAGCAUAUGAAUACUAGGUGCACUCACAGGUUAUCGGAAAAACCAAAGUAUAAAGCUGAUUAAACCCAAGUACAAGGGAAAUUAACCCUUUUAAUCCCUGCAAGGUGAGCAACGUGCUGGUUACCAGUUACUCUAGUUUCAUAUUUUCAAUACCUUGAAGAAACAUGAACUCUAAGCAGUUCCUUGACUUCAACAUCCACACCUUCCAUCACUAAAAAUGUGUAUCACGGUCUAUCACCUUCAGUUACGAAUACAUGAAACAGAUUUCUUUUUUACCUUUUUAGCAUACCAUUAUCCUUAUUUCUCAAUGGUAUCUUAGGUAUUUAGCCUUCACAUGUAUAGAUUUGUCAAACUAGUAGACUUAAAUGCAAACAUUAUUUUAGUUCUUGCUUUUAAGGAGGUCUAACAAAAGGCACACUCUUAAUACAACUACAUUUUGACUAAAUUUGAACAGCAGACUAAGAUCAUUCUUGCCAGCCUAAUUUAUUAGGAAAGCACUGAAAAUGGUGAACGUCUUAGUGACAAAAAAAAGUAAACCGACAUGCUAACAGACUGCUUACAUACUGAAAGCUAACCUGAAAAUCCUUGAUGACAUCCAUAUAUUCAACAUAUAUCCAUCAUAGCAAUAUGACCUUUUCAUGCACCUACUAUCACGCAGCAUAGAUUUGAUGUGUAUUCAAGUGUAUAUAAGGACCAAGUACUGCAUACAAAAGAGGCAGUCAGCCCCCUUAUACAACUCAUGGUCAUAAAUGAUAAUUAGGGAAAAUUAUAGUCAGCAUUCAGCAACGGUGUAAU
rnacentral:lncRNA from 1 species